rnacentral:rRNA from 1 species
UACAGAGGGUGCGAGCGUUAAUCGGAAUUACUGGGCGUAAAGCGUGCGUAGGUGGAUGUUUUAAGUCGAAUGUGAAAGCCCCGGGCUUAACCUGGGAAUUGCAUCCGAGACUGGGCAUCUAGAGUAUGGCAGAGGAAAGUGGAAUUCCCGGUGUAGCGGUGAAAUGCGUAGAUAUCGGGAGGAACAUCAGUGGCGAAGGCGACUUUCUGGACCAAUACUGACACUGAGGCACGAAAGCGUGGGGAGCAAACAGG